GCAGUAUUCCAGUCUGCCUAGCCAAAGGGGGGAAUUAAGGUGCUGGCAAGCUUUCAUACACACAUGCAUGCUCUAGGAGAGAGGAAACUCUCAGUGGAGGAUGUGGCAGCAAAGAAUUUCAAUGGCUGCUGAACAUCUUGGAAAAACAGCCCCCGGACCAAGCUGCUGCUCCUCUUCUCUCUCCUGGUAGGGUUACCGACCCCGUGCGAGGCAGUCUCCCUAGGGACCCAGGCUGAGCUCAGCUGUCCUCCUCAAUCUGUCUUUGCCCUGCUGUUAGAAAUGAGGGCCAGGUUCCUCCAACAAAAGGCUUCCACACAGCUCCUUCCAUCUCUCUCGAAAGUGAAGUCAUUGAACAUGCUCCUGUUCAAAUCUCAGCUGCCUGUUCUGAAGGCACAGUAAGACACUCGCAGGGCUGCACCUAUCCGCUGAGGAACAGACAACACUGCACAGAAAGCAGCUGUAAAUGUGCUCUAAAAACUUAAAGGACUUCAAUUGACUGACAAGUCACCACACACUUCACUUCUGACCCUGUAGGGACACGAUCCUGGUGCGUUUUGUCUGAUCCACUGCAAGAGGGAUGGUGGAGUGGAGUCUUGAGAACAAAAAUGGAUGUGUGAAUAACAACAGUUUAUGGCUGAUCUCCUGAAAAUGACCACUUUUUCGUGAAAGACAAGACUCUUUUAGCCUGUGCUGCUGAGCCUCUGUGCAUCUAAUCGGUUCUACAUGUGACAAAACACUCUCUCAGCAGCACAAUUCAUUAAUUCCCCUUUUCACCAUGGGUAUGCACUUUACCUUAAAAGCGCUGAAACUUCAAAGUAAAAUAAAACUAACGUGGGUUAAUUUAUCAUAUUGGACAUCAUCAAAUGCAUUAUUUUAUUCUGCAUGUGGAAAUAUUUUUGACGAGUGGCCACAGCUCUCCUGCAGGGCAGCUCUCCCAGAGUCACUUAGGAGCCUACUGCCUUCUCUAGCAAUAUGCUGUACAGGUUUUAUCCAGUUUACAAAAUCCUAGGAGCUGAAUUUUUCCAGAGUGAGACAGCUGUGUCCCCUGUGCAGUGUGCCUGAAUUUCCUUGCUAACUGCCCCCCAGAGCUGCACAAGCUUGGCCUCCUGAGCCAGCCUGAACGAGCCAACAGAUGUGCGAGAGAGAGAGGAAAUAUGAAUAUUGUGGAAUAAAUACCGAGAGGUAUCGUCUUUCAUCUUUUGGGUUCUUUGCGUCUGUAACUCCCGGCCGGCUGACAGCUGCUCUUUGUGGGACUGUGGUGAGAUUAAAGCUCAUUUAGAUGGGGGGGGGGGCCUUGUGGCAUAAUGACACCUUUCAUUCCAGUUUUAAGCCUGGCUUGAUUUAUUUUCAUCACCGGACACAGAAUUCAACAGCUUCCCAUGUAAAGCAAUGAGGAAACUGAUUACCAAAGAGGUAAUAACACUAAAUGUUUCUCAGCCUGCUGCUUUCUACUUAAAAAAAACAC